rnacentral:misc_RNA from 1 species
GUGAUUAAUCUGGAUCUUCCUAAGACAAUGGAAGAUUAUGUACAUAGAGUUGGAAGGACAGGCCGUGCAGGAUCAGCUGGCCAAGCUACUUCAUUUUACACUGAUCGUGAUCUGUUCCUAGUGGCACAAAUAAAGAAAGCAAUUGCAGAUGCUGAAUCUGGUAACAUAGUGGCUUUUGCAACUGGGAAGGUUGCUAGAAGGAAAGAGAGAGAAGCAGCAGCCUUGCAAAAGGAAGCGAGGAAUGCUCUGUCUCAAAUGGUUGGACCCACUUCAUUAAGCAUUGAGGAUAAGUAUAGGUUCAUGAUUGCCUCUUCAAGUAUCAAAGGAGAGGGUGCAGCAGAUAGUGCUUGGGA